rnacentral:rRNA from 1 species
GAAUCUUCCACAAUGGACGAAAGUCUGAUGGAGCAAUGCCGCGUGAGCGAAGAAGGUUUUCGGAGCGUAAAGCUCUGUUGUAAGGGAAGAACACGUACGGGAGUAACUGCGCGGGCCAUGAGGGUACCUUAUUAGAAUGACAGGGCAAACCCAGUGCCAGCGGCCGCGUGAAUACGUAGGUGUCAAGCGUGUUCCGGAAUUAUUGGCGGUAAAGCGCGCGCAGGCGGUCCUUUAAGUCUGAUGUGAAAGCCCACGGCUCAACCGUGGAGGGUCAUUGGAACCUGGAGAACUUGAGUACAGAAGAGGAAAGCGGAAUUCCACGUGUAGCGGUGAAAUGCGUAGAUAUGUGGAGGAACACCAGUGGCGAAGGCGGCUUUCUGGUCUGUAACUGACGCUGAGGCGCGAAAGCGUGGGGAGCAAAC